GCNCCCUCCGCCGCCCACUCAGACUCCUACCGACGGCGAGCAGUGGGGAAGGUACGUUGGUCUACAACUAGGGGAAACCCGGUACGGAACGUGCAGCGACGCCGCCGUCGGAGGCGGAUGAAGCCCUCCGGGGUCGGUAAAGGACGUACUUUCGGUCCUAGGGGAAGGAAGUUAAUGACGGUACCUGCAAAGCAAGCUGCGGCUAACUACGUGCCAGCAGCCGCGGUAAUUC
rnacentral:rRNA from 1 species